GAGCUGUUGCGCAGCCAUCACGCAGCUGCAGGAUAUGACUCCAUAUGCUGUAUGCUCAUAUCCAGUGGCCGGUGUGGAAAAAUGUUUUGCGGUCACAGGAGCAAGCGAUUGGCCACGGCCUGCGGGAGGGCCACAGAACAAAGAAAUUUCCCGGUAUGCCAGUCUGGACUGCAAAGAUACUCAUUGUGGACAGCAUGCGGCCCCGUUUGAUAUGAUUGACAUAGGGUGAUUAGAACUGCGUAGUAAAAUAAAAACAGCAAUACUGGCAAUAAUAGCUGCUACCAGUUUAUACACUGUUCAAUUUUGCACUGCUCUCUCUCCUGGCCGGGAAGAAUAUCUUCCCUAUUCUGCUUAUUUUGCACCAUAAGGUCAAAGAUGACAGUGGCAAAAGGAAAUUAAGUGUUCUGGGCUCUCUGAUUGACAGCCCUAGUGGGGUUAAAAAGGAAUGUUGCAAUAGCCUCCCUCAGUAAUACGAAUAUGCUCAGGGUGCUCUAAUCAUUAAUGCAAAGUACAUAUGGUACUCAUAAUGACACUUUGAUUUCUCCAGAACCAUGACUACUUUAUUACAAGUAUGUAACUAAACAAAAUUAUGGAAUUUAUUGCCCAAUAUCUACUUACUCCACCCAUUAAAAGUGUAACAACUUCCCCACUGCAAGUGAAAUAACAGUCAACAGAAAUAUACUAUUAAAGGGAAGUAGUACAAUUUGAAAACCAAUAAUAAAAACAAAUCUAUUGUGGUCUGACUGACCGGCUACAUAUUUUAUGAUUUAUAGACUGUCACUCCCGGAUACAGUUUUUGCUGCAGUUUGUCUAUCCUUCGAGCGUUACUACACAUAUUUUGUAACAACAAAAAAAGAGAUGUUUUACGAUACCAAGUUUAGUGUUAACACUGUGCUUUCUAAUCACUUCCUAUCUAUGUUUUUUAAAUGAAAAUGACAAUAUUAGUGCAAACAAUUUAAAGUGUUACUCCAGCUUUCAUGACCACUUCUGCUUUUAGAAGUGGUUAUAGAUCAAGCAAUCUGUACGUCAGCAUACCAGCUUAAAACAUUGCCUAGACAGAGAAAUCAGCACUCUUGUGCCAGUGCCUAGGCAACUCAGUUCUGGACUGCCUGAUGUAAGUUCUGUGCUAAAAUGAUAUCUGUUUUCAGCACCCUCUGUGCACUGGCGACAAAUGUAAUCACCUUCUUUGCUUGCAGGCAGCGCUGUGAGCUCAUCUGCAAGUAGAAACUUUCAGGUCUCGAUUGCACAGAGUCCUUCUAACGCCUUACUUAAAAAUGUGUUUCCUCACUGCAUCCUUACUUAAAGGGACUCUCCAGUGCCAGGAAAACAAACUGUCUUCCUGGCACUGCAGGUCCCCUCUCCCUCCCAUGUUGCUGAAGGGGUUAAAACCCCUUCAGUGACUUACCUGUAUUCAGCGCUGAUGUCCCUCGGCGCUGGGUCAGGCUCCCCCUACGCUCCUCCCCCGCCGACGUCACCCGGCAGGGGAGACCUAUUGAGCGGGGGCGGGGGACCUAAUGUGCAUGCAUGGCAAUGCCGUGCACGCGCAUUAGACCUCCCCAUAGGAAAGCGUUGAAUAAUGCUUUUAAUGCUUUCCUAUGGGGAUUUCAGCGACGCUUACAUUUGCAGGGUUAAGGGUAGUGGGAGUUGGCACCCAGACCACUCCAAUGGGCAGAAGUGGUCUGGGUGCCUGGAGUGUCC